AACUAACGCUGGCGGCGUGCCUAACACAUGCAAGUCGUACGAGAAAGUCGGCUUCGGCUGAUGAGUAAAGUGGCGCACGGGUGAGUAACGCGUGGAUAAUCUGCCCUUGAGUGUGGAAUAACGUACCGAAAGGUGCGCUAAUACCGCAUAAUGCCUGGCAACAUAAGUUGUCCGGCCAAAGAAGGCCUCUGCUUGCAAGCUUUCGCUAAAGGAUGAGUCCGCGUACCAUUAGCUAGUUGGUGAGGUAACGGCCCACCAAGGCGACGAUGGGUAGCCGGCCUGAGAGGGUGAACGGCCACACUGGGACUGAGACACGGCCCAGACUCCUACGGGAGGCAGCAGUUGGGAAUCUUCGGCAAUGGGCGCAAGCCUGACCGAGCAACGCCGCGUGAGUGAUGAAGGUUUUCGGAUUGUAAAGCUCUGUCUUCCGGGACGAUAAUGACGGUACCGGAGGAGGAAGCCACGGCUAACUACGUGCCAGCAGCCGCGGUAAU
rnacentral:rRNA from 1 species